AUGAUCGAGCAUGGGAUUUUCCCUUUGGUCAUGGACGAGAGUGAUGAUGUGCCAUCUUCGGCCUUCAUCCACGACGAGAGAGAUGAUGUGCCAUCUUCGGCCUUCACCCACGGUGACGACUACGAGAUGGUUGAGCAUGGGAUCUUCCCUUCGACCACGGCGACGUAUGAUGACAUGAGUGACUUGUGCCACCAUAUUGAGAGUGAGAGUGACUUCACCACUAGCCCCAUAUAUGACGAGUUGCCCCAAUUCCCAUGUGAGGAGAGCCACCACCACCACCACUUGAGUGAUUUGAGUGACUCCACCAUAUGUGACAUUGAGUGCACCUACCUUGAGGGAGUGAGUGAGCCACCACCACAUAGAGAGAGUGAGGUAGUUGAUAGGGCAUGCGAGGCCAUUUCGAUUUCUAACUACCUCUAUUGUGUCUUCUCAUUUGGUGCUAGGUCCCAUAUAUGA
rnacentral:rRNA from 1 species